AAUCAACGCUGGCGGCGUGCCUAACACAUGCAAGUCGAACGAGAAAGUGGAGCAAUCCAUGAGCACAGUGGCGUACGGGUGAGUAACACGUGACUACCUACCCUCGAGUGGGGAAUAACCUCGGGAAACCGGGGCUAAUACCGCAUAACAUCUACGGAUCAAAUGCGUAAGCAGCUUGGGGGAGGGGUCGGCGGGCCGAC
rnacentral:rRNA from 1 species